rnacentral:pre_miRNA from 1 species
UUUUAUGGAUGAGCAAAGAAAGGGAUUUCUUGAGAUGGGAACUACUCCUGAUGAAGAUGCUGUGAA